UCAAAAAAUUACUAUUUACUUAAGUUUUAAGUUUUUGUUCUUUCGAAUACAUUAAUUUAUUGUUUUUGUGGUUUUGGUUUAAUUGGCCAAUUAUACUCAGUUAACACGAAAUAUAUAUUUAACCUGGUUUAAGAUCAUCUUUAUAAUUUGAUCUUUAUCACAAAAACCCUAGAUUUCUUUUUGGCAAUAAAUAUUGAAUGCCCUUGUUAAUGUCUCUUAUUAAAGAUGGUUUUUUUCUCCAAAACUCUUUGGCAAAACACUCGAAUUAUGAUGAAAAUUGAAAAAGAAAUAUUUCUAACCAAUGUUAGUGAUUUAUUUAAAUAUACUUAAUUAUUCGUGUAAAAGAAUUUAUUAAAAUAACCUAAAUAUUAACAAAUUAAUUAUGGGAUUAUGGUUUUUAUUUUGUAAUAAUGUGAAUAAAGAAAAUUAUUUCCAGACUUUAGACUGAAACUAUAGUUUAGAUUACAGCUCAAAUUGUAGCCUUAAAAUGAAACACUAUAUUCUCGACUAUAUGUAGUUUAAUGGGUUAUUAAUGGAUAACAAUAAAAUUUCAGUUGAGUUGCCAGCAAUCAAUGCAUCUGAUAUAGAACGUGGUAUUAAUGAUGGCAAUUGCCGUUAGUUUGCAAAAAGUUAUCAAUAUUUUGUCAUCUGUAGUUAUUUUGACACAUAAUAGAAAUGCAAACAAAGAAAACAAGUGUAUUAAAUUUGAUAUUAAUGUUAAAUUUUGUGAAAAAAAGAAUAUAAAAUAAAUUCUAAAGUGAAAUAUGUACACACAUACGCAUCCAUUCGAAUUGAAUAAUUGUGUUAACCACGUUUACAACUAGCGAUGGAAAUAACAACCCUUUCUUAAUACAAUCGGUUCUUCGCAACGAAACGACGCGGAGUUUAACGAUCAACAUUCCAGGAUUAUCGAAACCAGCCACAACAACUUUACAUGCUCCAUGUAUAAAGUAAAGAACUAGCGGCCACAAUCGAAUUCGAUUUGGAAAAUAAUGUUAACCACGCUAACAGCAAGCGUUGGAAAUAACAACCCACGUUCUUAAGACAAUCGGUUCUUCACACCGAAACGACGCGGAGUUCAACAUUCAAGAAUUGUAAAACUAAGUCACAUCGACUUUACACGAUGGUUAUAUGUAUAAAGAAAAAAAUUAUCGGCCCAAAUCAAACUAUUAUAAUAACUAAACCAUUUCAAUUUGUGGUGCUGCAGCUAUAGUCCUCUAACUACAAUAAAAAAUUUCUGGUUGCAAAUUUAUCAACUGAAUUUUGCAGCUGUCGAUGGACACUUGCGGCAACUAAUAAGCAAUCUUUUGAAGAUACCUAAGUAGAUGUCAAAAAUAAACGUAUAGAUGUUGGUUAGAGUAAUGUAUAAUGAUGAAAGUAAAACUUAAAUAAAAACAAAUUUCCGUAAUUAACAAAAACCACUGAGCGUCUAAAAAAUACUGUAAAUAUUUAUACUAAAAAAAUAAAUACGCUAAAAUGCCAAAAACCCAAAUUAAAAA